UACGUAGGGAGCAAGCGUUGUCCGGAAUCAUUGGGCGUAAAGCGCGCGUAGGUGGCUUCGUAAGUCCGUUGUGAAAGUCAAAGGCUCAACCUUUGAAAGCCGAUGGAUACUGCGGAGCUAGAGUACGGAAGAGGCGAGUGGAAUUCCUGGUGUAGCGGUGAAAUGCGCAGAUAUCAGGAGGAACACCGGUGGCGAAGGCGGGUCUCUGGGCCGAUACUGACGCUGAGGAGCGAAAGCGUGGGGAGCGAACAGG
rnacentral:rRNA from 1 species